AAAAAAAAGAAAAAAAAAAAUGAAGUGAAAAAUUGCAAUAUCUGUUGUAAUUUUUUUAAGUACAUAAUUGUGCGCACUAAAGUAUGUACAUAUAUAUAUAUAUAUAUAUAUAUAUAUAUAUAUUUGUUUUUACUUAUUUAUGUAUUCUUUUCUUUUUUUUUUUUUUUUUGUAAAGGUAAAUCAUUUUAUAACCGAAGCACUAGGCUGUGGUGGGGGCACUACCAUUUACGAAUUGGCAGUAGAUUACAAGUAAGACUAAACAAAGGGAUUAAAUUUUCACAUUUUCAACAUAUAGGGAGAUUUAUAGAAUUUGCUCGAGCCUCAAAAUCGUUAAGAGCAGCGACACUAAGUAAGUGCUUGCGCAGGAAUUUUUGGAACACCAACUUUUUUUUUAAUGGUCAGCCUAAAACAGGAAACAAAAUUAAAAACAACUCGAAGACAUCUCAAGAUGAAGGUUAUAUAAAAUUAUAUAUUUGUUUUUUGAAUAGACGUCACUUAAUGUUUGUAAUAAUAACGAUGUGUAUGUAUUUGUACAUCCCUGCAUGUAGAUAAAUACACACGCAUUUUCUUUAUUUCUUUCCCUUUCCUUUCCUUUUUUUUUUUUUUUUUUUUUUUUUUUUUUUUUUUGCUGAUCACAGGAGCAUACAUAUAUGCCGUAGAAAAAGGAAAAAUAACUCCAUCCGAUAAAGAAUUACAGAAGUUGGAAUUGAUUUUAGGAGUACCAUUAAAAAGAAAAAAACAAAAAACACUGCUUCGUAGGUUGUAGUUAUUUUAGUUUAUUUACUUAUGUUGGUUUCUCAUUCUUUCUCUUUUUCCCUCCUUUUCACUCUUUUUAUGUGUGUGUGUGUGUGUGUUUUUUUGUUUUUUUCUUUUUAUUGUUUUUUUCAAAAUGCUAUUAAAAAAAUGCUUCCCCUUUGGGCUGUUAUAGGCAUGAAGGAACGAGAAAAAAAAAAACAAAUAAAAUAAUUUUAAAUUUUACCGCUUUUUUUUUU
rnacentral:lncRNA from 1 species